rnacentral:rRNA from 1 species
AUACGGAGGAUGCAAGCGUUAUCCGGAUUUAUUGGGUUUAAAGGGUGCGUAGGCGGUUUGCUAAGCGGGAGGUGAAAUGCCGGCGCUCAACGUCGGAAGUGCCUCCCGAACUGGUGGACUUGAAUGACUCUGCCGUGGGAGGAAUGUGUAGUGUAGCGGUGAAAUGCUUAGAGAUUACACAGAACACCGAUUGCGAAGGCAUCUCACGAAGGGUUGAUUGACGCUGAGGCACGAAAGCGUGGGGAUCAAACAGGAUUAGAUACCCUGGUAGUCCACGCAGUAAACGAUGAAGGCUAACCGCUGGGCUUAUCAGUUCAGUGGCCAAGCGAAAGCGAUAAGCCAUCCACCUGGGGAGUACGACCGCAAGGUUGAAACUCAAAUGAAUUGACGGGG